GCCUGAGAUGUCCUGAGGACUGGAUACCUCAGAGAGUUUGGACUAAGCUACCAGAGUGCACAUCCAUUCCAGAUUCAUUUUCCUCCCAUCUCCAACACCAUAAUACUAAUAACCACCAGCUGCUGACAAAACAGAAAUGGAACAUGGAGAUACAAGCAAACGAAAAAAGCCCAGUUCUGUAAGGAGAAAGAUAUACUACUGUGGAGAACAUGAGGACAUCCAAGUACAGGUACAGGAGUAGGACAGGAUA